ACAACAGUUGGAAACGACUGCUAAUACCGCAUAAGCCCACGACCCGGCAUCGGGUAGAGGGAAAAGGAGCAAUCCGCUUUGAGAUGGCCUCGCGUCCGAUUAGCUGGUUGGUGAGGUAACGGCCCACCAAGGCAACGAUCGGUAGCCGGACUGAGAGGUUGAACGGCCACAUUGGGACUGAGACACGGCCCAGACUCCUACGGGAGGCAGCAGUGGGGAAUAUUGCACAAUGGGGGAAACCCUGAUGCAGCGACGCCGCGUGGAGGAAGAAGGUCUUCGGAUUGUAAACUCCUGUUGUUGAGGAAGAUAAUGACGGUACUCAACAAGGAAGUGACGGCUAACUACGUGCCAGCAGCCGCGGUAAAACGUAGGUCACAAGCGUUGUCCGGAAUUACUGGGUGUAAAGGGAGCGCAGGCGGGAAGACAAGUUGGAAGUGAAAUCCAUGGGCUCAACCCAUGAACUGCUUUCAAAACUGUUUUUCUUGAGUAGUGCAGAGGUAGGCGGAAUUCCCGGUGUAGCGGUGGAAUGCGUAGAUAUCGGGAGGAACACCAGUGGCGAAGGCGGCCUACUGGGCACCAACUGACGCUGAGGCUCGAAAGUGUGGGUAGCAAACAGGAUUAGAUACCCUGGUAGUCCACACCGU
rnacentral:rRNA from 1 species